GCACCUAUCUGUAAAGAACUUCGCACUGAAGUGCAGUUCACUGUGCCACUGCGUGAAAUUACACUAAAAAGCCUAUUUUUUCCUCUGUGCGCGCUCAUGAAUACGCGUUCACGUUUGGCAGCUCCACGUCGACAUUCUUCCAGCUGCAUAUAGUGUAUUGCUCAGCACUGGGGGAAGAAAAGGUAAAAGCGGCGGUAGUCACCUUACGAUUAGAGCGCUGCAAGUCCGCAGACGGACAUCAACCGCCAUGAAAACAGGCAUUUGCUAUGUGAAUUUAUAGCCAUGGGCUGCAAUGUCUCUACUCGCUUUCUGCUUUUUUUUUUCUUCUUCUUCUUCUUUUUUUUUCUUUUAGAUCUAGACUCUUUGCCCCUCGUGUUGGAUUGCAGCUGGUCCAUUGCGUCUACCUAUACCAGGUACAGUAUGACUUGCAGAACUUACCUUGUCUUUAUUAUAUUUCUUCUUUGGAGAAUCAUUCGAUUUUAGCUGAGAAACUUCUUUAUUUUGUUACAUUAUUUUUGCAUGGGUAAAGUUGCUGUCAGUUGCUGAUAAAGUGCCCAAUCUAUCAGCUAUUUUCAAACUAAUAUAACUUAAUACUCCUGGAGCUCAGCUGGCCUUCUUUACAGUCUUUAAUGCUGUCAUAUCGUUUUGCAUUGUUGAGCAAAUAGUUUAUUCUCUUUGGUCCAUUCAGUUUAGAAAGUUGUUAAAGCUCAACAGGUUGAAUUGGUAACACUUUGAGGAGUUUAAUAAUCCUCAUAAAGAUAUCACUAGAACUGUAAACUCUAAACGUGUCAGUCAAAGCAGAGAUUGGUUAACUUGUUAACUACUGCAACCAACCAAAUGGUGAAGCUUGAGGAGGUAAGUAAAUACCUUUCAGGAUCAUUUGGGGGAGGGUUUACUUCAGGAUCCAGUAUUGCAUAUACCCAGAUGAUAUUAAGCCAAUCAAUUAUUUCUUUAGAGCUGUUUAAAAAGACUCCACCGGGCCUGGUUUGCAUGUGUGACUCUAAGGAGGACCCAUCGCACAGCAAGAGUCGGCCCAGUCAAGCAUCUGCAUCUUGUAAUAUAGGCUGAAGGAGCACCUAGUCAAGAGGAGGAUAAGGUUCCACACAAGAACAAACCUGUGAGGUGGCACUGUGGCUUUCCAAAUAAAGUUCUGUGAUACACUUAGACUCUAAUUGCCUGCAGUCAGUGCAUUACAGAACUUUGUUUUGGGAGUUAAUACUUGUGGGGAAUAAAGCUUCAAACAUCUGGAUUGCUCAUUUUCCAGCAAAAUGCAAUAAUUCUGUUCGCACUUUAAAAAAGAAUAAUAAUAAAGUUUCUGUCAGUGUUAAA